UACAGAGGGGGCAAGCGUUAUUCGGAAUUAUUGGGCGUAAAGGGCUCGUAGGCGGUCCAUCGCGUCGGGAGUGAAAAGCUGGGGCUUAACCCCAGUCCUGCUUCCGAUACGGGUGGACUAGAGGUAGGUAGGGGAGAACGGAAUUCCUGGUGUAGCGGUGAAAUGCGUAGAUAUCAGGAGGAACACCGGCGGUGUAGACGGCUUUCUGGACCAUUACUGACGCUGAGAUACGAAAGCGUGGGUAGCAAACAGG
rnacentral:rRNA from 1 species